UCACAUUGAAAUACCGGUUUCUGUACGAUCAUUGAAUUUAAGCGACGUCGAGCCUGAUUAGUACCUAGCUGGGUGACUGCUUGUGAAUACCGAGUGUUGUAAG